rnacentral:RNase_P_RNA from 2 species
GAUCGCUGUACAGCCUGGCUGUAUAGAGGAAAGUCCAUGCUCACACAGUCUGAGAUGAUUGUAGUGUUCGCGCCUGACGAAACAAUAAGUCAGGGUAGCUGAUUUUUCAGCUAACGGCAGGAGAAGAACCUACGUGCGUUUGGCGCAUAUGGAUCUUCACCUUGAAAGUGCCACAGUGACGAAGUCUGAUUGGAAACAAUCAGAGUGGAACGAGGUAAACCCCGCGAGUGAGAAACCCAAAACAUGGUAGGGGAACUUCUGCGAAGGAAUUCAACGGAGCAGAAGGCAGCUCUGUAUAAG